rnacentral:lncRNA from 1 species
AACUUGCUUUGAGCUUGUCUAUGCGCUCAUGAUGUGGCUGGAUAUAUUGCUCUGGCACCUUCUCCAGGCCAAGAUCCACCAUGCCUUUGACUCCAUUGCCAUCUCUGACAACAAAGUUGUACAGUGAAUCGCCAUCAUCAAAGUUAGGUGCCAUUUUCAAAUGAAGCUUGAAAAUCUUCUAGUUUUGUUGAAUGUUGAUGAUUCAAUAACCUUAGACCAAUGAUCCCAAUUGUUACUGUCUAGUGAUCCUUGACUUUUGUGUGAUUGUCGAAGCAAGACUUAGGGCCUUGAAGCUGGAUGGAGUAAGGGAAAGUAGACAUAAUGCCACUGGGGUUUGGUGGCCGUGGUGGGGUUUAGGUGAAUAAAAAAACUACAAAAAACACAUCCACCAGGUUACCAACCAGUCAAGAAUCACAUGCCAAGGAAAUAAUCCCAUGCCAACACAAAAAUAUAUGAUCUUUACAAUAACCAAUUAUAUAAUUUUAGGAAUUAUUUUAUAAAAGUUGUAAAAUAUUUAAUAUUUUGUAAAAACAAUUCAUUUAUUCUAGUAUUAACAAUUUACAUAGUCUGUCCUUGAGGACGAUACCCGAAGUACUACAAAAGUCAUAGUAACUCUUUCUCUAGUUUUUUUUUUUUAUCAGAGUUGUUACGUAAAAAUAUUAAGUAUUUUGGUACAAUAGAAAAGUUUAGUCACACCUCUUAAGGGUAAUUAACUUAUUUAAGCAAUAUAGAGUCCAAAAUUUUAUAAAAUAAAAUAAAAUUCAAAGAAGUGGAGAUUUAAAAAGAUAAAAAGAAAGUGAGUAUUACUAAUUUUUAAUUAUUUUUGGAUUUUGAUUUUUUUUGGGCAUCAAUUUCACAUCCCCUAACUGUAAUUAACCUAUUUAAACAAUAUUCAACCCAUAUGAAGUUUAAAUUUCUUUUAAAAAUUUUAAAAAGUAAAGAUUUUGGAAGAUACGAAGAAUGUGAAAAAAAUUUCUCAGCUUUUAAGCAACUAAGUUUAACAAGCUUAUUUAUACAAUAUGAAAGUCAUAUGAAUGUGAAUUUUUUUUUUUUUUUUUUUUUAACUUCGAACAAAUGGAGAUUCUCAUUAGGGUAUGAAUUUUUAAAACUUCAAAAUUCAAACAGGGACCGAUCGACCGUAUGUGAAAAGCGGUCGAAUAAUUUCUCUACUGCUAGCCACUGCCACUUUACGUGGACAAUGAGCAUAUUAGCCGGUUGACCGCUAGUGAGGAGAGGUUGAAUUUUUUCUUUGCCACUAACCACUACCAAUUUACGUGGAUAAUGGGUAUAUUAGUUGGUCAACUGCUUUGGUUGCGGUUUAGUAUUUUCCCCUACCGCAUGCCAUUGCCACUGGGACACUAGAAGUUCCAGAAUCAUUGUUCUUGCCUUGUGGAUUUGGUAGCUUAUUUUUAAGAGAUCUUCAACAAAUGAAAGUGUUGUUUAGUUGCCCAACACACAAUUUUUUAUGUAUGUUAGAAGAUAGCAACAUAUAAUAAUUAAUAAGACAUAAGAAGGAUUGGUGAAUUCCUAUCCUCCUUCCUUACAAGAAACAACUUUGGCUUCUUCAAGAAUAUCCUGCCUCUGGCUCGAUCUUGGAGCAUCAUCUGAAGCAUUUGCUAAACCACUUGUAGUUUGAUCACUUUCACUUGAACAGCUCAAAGAGCCUUCAAUUGCAUUAAAUUAAUUAAAAUUGCAAAUGAAUAAAUUAAAAAAAAAAUUCAUACGAUCGACCACUAAACAAUAAACAAUAAGAAUCCAAUUUCACUAUUUAUUAAACAUGAGUUUCAUUCUAAUUUGCCUUCUUGUUUAUCAUCAUUAGUGAAAUGGAUGCAAAUAACUAUAAUUACCAACAAUGACUAACUAAAUAUAUAGUAAAGUGAAUAAAUGGAAGGCAAGAAAUUCGUAAAUAUAAGAUUUAUAGUGGUUUUGCCCUAUAUUGUCCUAUGUCUACCCUUUUGAAGCUCUAAGUUAAGGGUUAAACUAACUUUUAAGACUUCAACCAAACCUUAAUUCUUUAAACUUGGAUUCUUGAUUCCAAGACACCUUCUCACACUUUUCCUCAAUACAUUUCUCACUCUUGAAUAGACUCAAAAUGUAAUAAUUUAAUAAAGUUAAUAUCACAAAAUCCUAGCACAAGUUUAAGUUGAAGAUGACAUAAAUGAAAAGCAAGAUUAAAGGUAAUGCACUUAAACAAGAUGUUGAAAGCCUUUGGAUUGAUGAGUAGUAAAAUCACAAAGCUCUCCUAACAAUCAAAGCUUAAAUGAGAUCUCACAUAUGAGAUAGAAAGUCAGAGUAGCUAUUAGGUAUAAUUUACCUCAACCUGUUAACCUUAGCUGGUUCACCAGUAUGCUAGCCAUUGGAGGUACAAAUAUAAUAGGUAAUUGUUAAAAUACAAACAUGCUCGAUUGGUUGAAUUGGGUGAUCCGCUAGUGGGCUUAACUAGCUUUUAGUCCAAUUGAUGGCUAUUAUCAAAAUAUUCUAUAAACUAUAGAAAGUACAUAAUGUAAAGAAACUAAAGUGAAGAUAUUUGGAAAACAAUACAAGAUAUCAGAUAAUGCAUAAAUCCAAACAUGAAUCAUUUAUAAUAGGCGAAUAACAAGUAAGUAUAUAUAAUAACAGACGAUCAUUUAGUAGAAGAAACUUCCAAAUAUUAUGGAAAUAUAAGUCCAUGAAAUACAUAAAUCCAAAACUGACAAGUUAAAAAAAAAAAAGGUUAUGCCCAAUGUUAAGGUAAAUAUUGUCGGGAACCUUGAAUUACUUUGUUCCCAUGCCAUGGAUCUUGUAGAGAGUAUGCAUUUAUCUCUAGGAAUCUCUAGAUCUAAAGCAAUAUAAAAAAAAUGACUUUAAAACUAUUUUAAAAUAAAGAUCUAGAGAUUUGAAACUCAUACUUGUGAUAUGGAUGUUUCUAAAUUAGAAUCCAUCCGAUGAACAUGCUUGAAAAUUUUGGAAGUAUUGUACACCCAAGAUCUUCCUCCUGAUGACUCAAACCGCGAUCUUGACACUCCAAAGUAUGGGCAAUGGAAAGGAGGAAGCUUUGACUUUAUUUCUCUCUUUCUUUGACUUGGUAUUUAUUACAAGGAAACACACUCUCCCAUCAUGAUGCAAUCACAUUUUAAUUUUCAAUUAGUUUGUUAGUCUUAGUUUACGACAUGUUUAUAUGGAUCUAUGGAUAAUAAUAUAUACAUGAAAAUCCUUGAAGAAUUAAAUUACUUGAAGCAAAUAUUACCAAUCCUUAUAGUAUGUAUUUUGUCAAGGUACAAUGAUCCUUAUAUGGAUUGAAACAAUCAAAACGUAUAUGGUAUAAUUACCUUAACAAAUACUUACUAAAAGAAGGGUAUGUGAAUAAUUUUAUAUGUACACAUGUUUUUAUUAAGAAUUCAUAAGCAGAUUUGCAAUUAUUCCAAUAUAUGUUGAUGACUAAAAUCUUGUUAGGACUUUUGAAGAGCUCACAAAAACAAUAAAUUAUUUAAAGAAAGAAUUUGAAAUGAAAGACCUUAGGAAAACAAAGUUCUGUCUUGGCUUACUGAUAGAGUACUUUCCAAAUGAAAUAUUAGUCUAUUAGUUAACAUAUGUAGAGAAGUUCUUAAAGCACUUUUAUAUGGAUAAAUCACAUCUAUUAAGUUCUCGAAUGAUAGUUCAAUCACUUGGAGAGAAAAAUGAGUUUUUUCAUUCUAAAGAAGAUAACAAAGAAUUAAUUAAUCUAGAAGUGCCUUAUCUUAGUGCUAUUGGUGUUCUAAUAUAUCUUACAAACUGUAUGCAACUAUAUAUAAUGUCCUUUGUUAACUUACUUACAAGAUAUAGUUCUGCACCUACUUGAAAAUAUUGGAAUAGAGUUAACCAUAUACUGUAAUAUCUUCAUGGAACAAUCGACAUAGGUUUAUUUUAUUUGAAAUGAUCAGAAUCUUAAUUACUUGGAUAUGCAGAUGCUAACUAUCUUUUAAUCUCCUAUAAAACUUGAUCUCAAAUAGGGCAUGUAUUUUUACCUAUGGUAGUAUGACAAUAUCAUGGAGAUCAGUCAAACAAACAAUAGUAAUUACCUUUUCAAAUCAUUCAGAGAUAUUCACAUGAAGUAAGUCAUGAAUGUAUAUAAUUAAGGUGAAUUGUACAUUCGAGAAUCAUGUGGACCACCCUCUGUCAAAGAUAAUCCUAUUAAGUUAUAUGAAAAUAAUGUUGCUUAUAUUACACAAAUUAAAUGUGGAUUUAUAAAAUAUGAUAGAACUAAGUAUAUCUUCCCCAAAUUCUUCUACACUCACAAGCUCCAAGAUAACACAAAAAUUGAUGUUCAAGAGAUCAAAUCAUGUGAUAAUCUAUUAUAUUUAUUUACAAAAGCGUUACCAUUGACUACAUUAAAAAAAAUUAAGAUACAAUAUUGGAAUACAGAGAUUAAGAGAUCUACUAGUCAAACUAUUGAAGAAAACAUAAUCAUAUCUAUACGAGGGGGAGAAUACUAAUAUAGAUAUAUUGCACCAUUUUUUCCUUUGUCCAUAUUUUGUCCCAUAAGGUUUUACUAGUAAAGUUUUUAAUGAGACAAUCAUAAUGGUUAAAUUAUUUUGAAUAAUAUUAUACUCUUUUUCCUUUACUCGACUUUUCUCCAUUGAUUUUUUAAUAAGAUUUUAAUGAGUCAAUAGUCUUAUGAUCAUCCAAAGUGGAGUAUUAUAUAUGUGAAUUUAUCACAUUGUGAGAAUUUGUGGAUGAUUGUUCAUAUUGAUGUAUAUAUAUAUAUAUAUAUAUAUAUAUAUAUAUAUAUAUUUGCACUUUUUAUAAAAGAGGGAGAUCUGGUAAUGAAAUAUUAUUCAACUUCAUUAUUAGUAUUUUAUUUCUUCUUCCUCAAUUUCUUCCCUUUCUACUUUCUUCUCUACAAUGAUAACAAUUAUUUUUUUUUGUCAAAAGCUUUUUUUUUCUUCUUUUUUUUAUAACUAUUUUAGAAGUAAGAAUAAUUUUUAUAAGUAUCAAUACAAAUCUCAAAGCUAAUAAAUAAGCCAUUUUCAUUUUAGAUCUUUGUUUUUCAAUUUCUGAUUUUGAGUAAAAAAAUUUCAGGUCUUAGGCAUAAAAAUGAAAGAAUGAACAAGCACAAAGGUAACAUCUAUUGAGUUCUGAUAACACUAUCACGUCCAAGAGCUUAGAAGAAGAAGAAAUGCAAGAGGGACAGCCCAUUUAGGCCCAUUGACAUGCUUCUUGGGCCGAUGCAAUAUUUCAAUCCAUGGGCAGCCCAGCCAAACACAACAUCAGCCCAUAAACAUGCUCAAAGAUAAGCCCAAAGUUGAAAACGACCUAAUCAUCAAAGCCCAUUUCAUUUUAAAGCCCAAGUUAGUACAUAUGGGCUUUUGGGCCAUCAAGCCAAGGUUAAACUCUAGUGAUGACUGAUGACCAAUGGUGAUAACCGUUAACAUGGCCUCCCAGUCUCCAACAAGCCAUAAAUAGGUUGUUGAAAUACUCAAAACUGUUACUCUAGUAAUAAAAUAAAAGGGAAAAAAAAAAUAAUAAUGGAGAGGAUGAGAGAAAUCUUUAUUCACCAAAAAAGGUGACGGUAAUCUACAGUAUCACUCAUUCUCAUACAAUGUGAGUUACUAUAUUAUCAUUUAUUAGUCUCCCAACUAUCUAUUAUGGAUGCCUAAAGCUACCUAGUGGCACCCAUGAUCAAAGUAGAAGAUCCUUGUUGAAAAAUUUGCUAUGUACUCCAACAUAGGCUAAUAGAACAUGUCUCUCAAGAAUUUUGGAUAAACAUAAACAUAAAAUCAAUUCUUAAAUUGAAGAAGCAAUAAGUAAUUCCUAAUGAAUUUUGAAUCAAACAAGUUAAAGCUUGUCCAUGCAUCUUCUCUUGAGCAACAUUUUAAUGCCUUGAUUGAUGAAAAGAAAAUUAGAGAAGAAUCAAUUUGAUAAUGAAUAGUCAUAAAAUGAUGAAUAUGAAAAAAAAAAAAAAAAACUAGAAGUUAGUCAUUCCAUGGAUGAUGAAAAAUUAUAAGCACAUAUGUUAUAGUGAUCAUUAACAAGAAGGAAGAGGUGAGUACUAAUCCCAUGGCAUGUUUUCCUAUGCACAAAGUCCGUGAAAUCUUUAUGGCUAAGGUAGAUGGAUUGGUUGGUCUAAAACAUUCUUGUUUCCUAAAUAUUUUUCAAGCUUAAUGAACCAUAUAUAAUAAGGUUUAUUUCCUAGAGUUUCAAAAUACUUUUAUGAACUGAUCUAUAAAUUAAUGGCAUCAUCAACUAUAUGUUAUAUAGAAUUAACAAGAGUUAGCCUUUGAUCCUUUUAUCAAUUUGUCUGCAAAUGAUGUUGAUCAAAAGGGCACCUUAAUUCGAACCACAAAAACUUAACUAAGACCCGAGUGAAACAGUUAUCUUUAUUAAGGCAAAGGAUUCUUAAUUUACUAAAGAAAGACACGCUUGAGGACAAUUUAUUUAGCCCUAUGCCACAUAUGUUUGACGUCAAGGCAAAUCAAUUUUGGAUGACCAACCAUGCAAAAGAAAAACCAUAAUAAUGUAUAUGUGAUUAGUCUUUGCUUCAAGAGGAGUUGAUCUGAGCAAAAUCUAGUGACUUCUUCCCUUCAUGAGCUUUCCCAAAAAAGUUGUUCAUGUACUCCUCAACCACAACCUCGCGAUAAUGAGCAACCCCAUCUCUCUCAACCACUUGAGGCAAUGGCCCGAUCUUCUCAUUUGGUCUCGGAAUGGUGAAUAUAGGGAUCGACACUCUGGAUUGAGUGCUUGUGGUACGCACCCUAUGUUCUGCGCUUUUGUACUUCCCAUUGCUUAAUAUCUAAAAAUUUGCAUACAUUCAUAUCAAAGAAAUGUCCAUUUGAGUAUGAUUUUAUGUACUUCUAUAACUAAAUUUUGUAAGUAUAUCAGUAUUAAUCUAACCUGUAAUGUAUCACCAACAUUGAUGACCAAUGCGCCUGGUGUGGGUGGUAUCUCCACCCACUCUCCUUUCUUUCCAGCACCUGUGAUGUCUUCCUCCAUUUUCACGUAUAAUCCGCCGAUACCAUCUUGUAGCAACACCGUUAACAUGCCCAUAUCAGAGUGGCGUCCCACGCCAACGGUGAGAUCCGGGUUAGGGCAGGUGGGGUAGAAGUUCAUGUUCACCAUUUUUAAACCAAUGAGGCCAUCGAUUCUUGAUUCAUCUAGAGUUACUCCAAGCUUCUCCAUUAACACUUCUAGUAUUCUUCUCACCAUUGAGAUGGAUGCCUUCAGGAACUCUAGCGCUACUUCCCUGCGGAAAAUAUGAAUAAUAUUGCAUGCCAUGAAGUUUAUCAUAAACAAGGCCUAAAAAGUGCCCCAUGUAAAUGGGCCAUUGUACCAUCUCGCAAGUUCCUCAUUUUUUUUUAAUACAUAGAUCUAAUCAUCUACCAAUCUCGAGUUAGAUUUGUUUGUAUAUUUCAUGGAUUACUACAAUGAAUAUUUCUAUACAAUAUGGACCAUUUAUAUAAGAAUCUUGUUGUUGUAAGUCACCUGAAGGGUCUAGGAAUAGUUACUAAAGAAGAUUCAUUUAACAUGCUUAGAACCAUUUUUCCAAAUUGCAAAGGUAGUGGAUCCAAGGUAAAUAAUAUUUAUAUGGGACGUAAAUUAUAUCAAAAUUAAUUCUUAAUCGAAAAUAUAAUAAUUAAGCUAUAUGAGACAUAAAUGAUAUCAAAAUUAAUUCUUAGUCAGAAACAUAGUAAUUAAGCCACCCAUAAAUUCCAUGGGCCAUGGUGAAGAUGUAUGAGAGGAUUACUACAAUAUUCCACAUUGCAUGGGUAGAAGUUUCUAACACUUCAAAGAAAUAACUCAUAUAAUAUAUAUAGAUGACUCUUACUUUAUGUGAAAAUUUGAAAUAGAGUCUCACAUAUCCAAAGUUUUAUACCUAUAUGGUUCAAACCAUCAACUUAAUCAUGAGGCGUGAGUAGUGUACAUAUCUAUCAAGUUAUCACAAAAGAAAAUGUAUUACUCAUAGGAUUAGGGUCGAUUAAAAACAUCUUACUUGCAUUCAUUAGGCCAAAAUUCAAAUGCAUCGGCAUCGCUCGUAUACACCAUACUAACGUAGUCCUUCCACUCCAAUGCCUUCUCUUUCUCAGGCACAAAGCUCGUCCCAUACUUCACGUACGGGCUCGGGCUCACCCCCUUCCGAUACACCGCCUUCUUCUCAGGAGCUUGUCCAAAGAACUCAUGCGCCGCGCUCUUAACCGACUCCAGCACUUCAUUGGGCACCCCAUGGUUCACAACUUGGAAGAACCCCACACUCUCGGCUGCCUCGGCUAUCAACUCCAUCACUUGGCUAUGCUGAGGUCCGCCAAGCAUUGAUAAAUCUAUUGGCGGCCGAUCAUAGGAACUUGCUUUGAGCUUGUCUAUGCGCUCAUGCUGUGGCUGAAUGUAUUGCUCUGGCACCUUCUCCAGACCAAGGUCCACCAUGCCUUUAACACCAUUGCCAUCUCUGACCACAAAGUUGUAUAGUGAGUCGCCAUCAUCAAAGCUAGGAGCCAUUGUCGAAUGAAGCUUGAAAAUCUUCUAGUUUUGUUGAAUGUUGAUGGUGCAAUAACCUUAU